GAAAUGCGAUAAGUAAUGUGAAUUGCAGAAUUCCGUGAAUCAUCGAAUCUUUGAACGCACAUUGUGCCCUCUGGCAUUCCGGGGGGCAUGCCUGUCCGAGCGUCAUUACGCACCCUCAAGCCCGGCUUGUGUGAUGGGCCCCGGCGUCUCGUUCGCGAGACGAGCCCGAAAGGCAGCGGCGGCGUCGACCCGAUGAGCCCGAGCGUAUGGGGACUUCUGUCACACGUUCGCGGUGCGGACCGGCGCCUGCUUGACUUUUCUGAUUAUCCAGGUUGACCUCGGAUCAGGUAGGGAUACCCGCUGAACUUAAGC
rnacentral:misc_RNA from 1 species